rnacentral:rRNA from 1 species
UUCGUCGAAGUCUUGAUGGCGACCGGCGCAAGGGUGCGUAACGCGUGAGCAACUUGCCCGUUUCAAGGGGGGAUUAACCGGUGGAAAACCGCCGACUAAUACCCCCAUAGCAUCAGUUUGAGGCAUCUCUUACUGAUUAAAGAGUUUCGGAAACGGAUAGGCUCGCGUGACAUUAGCUAGAUGGCGGGGUAACGGCCCACCAUGGCGACGAUGUCUAGGGGUUCUGAGAGGAAGGUCCCCCACACUGGAACUGAGACACGGUCCAGACUCCUACGGGAGGCAGCAGUGAGGAAUAUUGGUCAAUGGUCGAAGGACUGAACCAGCCAUGCCGCGUGAAGGUGACGGCCCUAUGGGUCUUAAACUUCUUUUGCAAGGGAGCAAUAAGUCCUACGUGUAGGAUGAUGAGAGUACCUUGCGAAUAAGCAUCGGCUAACUCCGUG